rnacentral:piRNA from 1 species
UAGCAGGCAUGUGCUUUACAAUCACU